rnacentral:rRNA from 1 species
GACGAACGCUGGCGGCGUGCUUAACACAUGCAAGUCGAGCGGUAAGGCCCUUUCGGGGGUACGACGAGCGGCGAACGGGUGAGUAACACGUGGGUGACCUGCCCUUACGCUCUGGGAUAAGACCUGGGAAACGUGGGUCUAAUACCGGAUAUGACUCCAUGACGCAUGUUGUGGGGUGGAAAGCCUUGUGCGGCUAGGGA